CCUACGGGGGGCUGCAGUGGGGAAUAUUGCACAAUGGGGGAAACCCUGAUGCAGCGACGCCGCGUGAGUGAAGAAGUAUUUCGGUAUGUAAAGCUCUAUCAGCAGGGAAGAAAAUGACGGUACCUGAUUAAGAAGCCCCGGCUAACUACGUGCCAGCAGCCGCGGUAAUACGUAGGGGGCAAGCGUUAUCCGGAUUUACUGGGUGUAAAGGGAGCGUAGACGGCAGCACAAGUCUGGAGGGAAAUGCCGGGGCUUAACCCCGGAACUGCUUUGGAAACUGUGCAGCUAGAGGGCAGGAGAGGUAAGUGGAAUUCCUAGUGUAGCGGUGAAAUGCGGAGAUAUUAGGAGGAACACCAGUGGCGAAGGCGGCUUACUGGACUGUAACUGACGUUGAGGCUCGAAAGCGUGGGGAGCAAACAGGAUUAGAUACCCCAGUAGUC
rnacentral:rRNA from 1 species